AUUGGACGCUGGCGGCAGGCCUAACACAUGCAAGUCGAACGGUAACAGGAAACAGCUUGCUGUUUCGCUGACGAGUGGCGGACGGGUGAGAAAUGUCUGGGAAACUGCCUGAUGGAGGGGGAUAACUACUGGAAACGGUAGCUAAUACCGCAUAACGUCGCAAGACCAAAGAGGGGGGCCCUCGGGCCUCUUGCCAUCGGGUGUGCCCAGAUGGGAUUAGCUUGUUGGUGGGGUAACGGCUCACCAAGGCGACGAUCCCUAGCUGGUCUGAGAGGAUGACCAGCCACACUGGAACUGAGACACGGUCCAGACUCCUACGGGAGGCAGCAGUGGGGAAUAUUGCACAAUGGGCGCAAGCCUGAUGCAGCCAUGCCGCGUGUAUGAAGAAGGCCUUCGGGUUGUAAAGUACUUUCAGCGGGGAGGAAGGGAGUAAAGUUAAUACCUUGGCUCAUUGACGUUACCCGCAGAAGAAGCACCGGCUAACUCCGUG
rnacentral:rRNA from 1 species